rnacentral:rRNA from 1 species
CGCUGGCGGCGUGCCUAACACAUGCAAGUCGAACGGAGGCACUUCGGUGCUUAGUGGCGAACGGGUGAGUAACGCGUGAGAAACCUGCCUCUCAGUGGGGGAUAACAGUUGGAAACGACUGCUAAUACCGCAUAAUGUAUUCGGAAGGCAUCUUCUGAAUACCAAAGCUUUAUGUGCUGAGAGAUGGUCUCGCGUCUGAUUAGCUAGAUGGCGGGGUAACGGCCACCAUGGCGACGAUCAGUAGCCGGUCUGAGAGGAUGAACGGCCACAUUGGGACUGAGAUACGGCCCAGACUCCUACGGGAGGCAGCAGUGGGGAAUAUUGGGCAAUGGGGGAAACCCUGACCCAGCAACGCCGCGUGAAGGAAGAAGGCCUUCGGGUUGUAAACUUCUUUUAGCAGGGACGAAGAACGUGACGGUACCUGCAGAAAAAGCAACGGCUAACUACGUG